AGGCUUUUUAUUAUUACAAGAUACUCAGGGAGGAUGGAAUUUUCUUGUUAUUCCCUGUUGUCACUGUUGGACAUGAAAGAAAGACAAAAGACUCGUAGUUGCAGGCAGCAGUAAGGUGCCCCUUUGCCUUCUCCAGGCUGAACAGAUCCAGCUCACUCAAAAGCUGCUCAUGUGUCCUGUGCUCCGUCCCUGACAGCGUGGUGGCCUUCUCUGGACUCUGGUACAUCUGUGCCUAUAGAGCACCAGGAGCUCACACUGGUGCCAGCACUCACAGGGGCCUUGCAAGCAGAGUCAGCUGGGCACUGAGGAGGCACCACAGCAGAUCUGCAGCAUGUCCACAGGCACCACUUGGAUCCCAUCACAGCUUUGCCCUCUGGAUGAUGCACUGAGGAUGCACAAUGGGAGAAGAUGCUCAGUGUCACUGUGAGUUGAAUGCCUGCUUCUGCCAGGCUCUUGGAGGAGAGUUUAUGUCAUGCAGAUGUUUGUAGAGAUGGAACUUUUUGUUUAGACCCAGGUUUAUUCCUGUCCCACCCUGAUCACCUCCCUCAUUUACAGAGUUGUGAAUUAUCUGCAUCUGAAAGGCUGACUCAUCCCCUGAGCAAAGCCUCCUUGCAAAUUGCUCUGGUAUAAAUCAGCUUGUGUUUCAGAGUAGAACAGGUGCUGAUAAAAAGCCAUGUAAUAUCAAAACUAAUACAAAAGGAGGA